UACAGAGGUCCCAAGCGUUGUUCGGAUUCACUGGGCGUAAAGGGUGCGUAGGUGGUCGGGUAAGUUUAAGGUGAAAGCUCCGGGCUCAACCCGGAAAUGGCCUUGAAUACUAUCCGGCUCGAGGGUUGGAGGGGGGACUGGAAUUCUCGGUGUAGCAGUGAAAUGCGUAGAUAUCGAGAGGAACACCAGUGGCGAAGGCGAGUCCCUGGACAACACCUGACACUGAGGCACGAAAGCUAGGGGAGCAAACAGG
rnacentral:rRNA from 1 species